UAAACAGAAUUGGGAAAGGGAGGAGGAGCUCUCAACCCUCACAACCUUGGAUCCACCAUAACUCCUCCAUCCGAGCACCGAUCGCCGCACCGUUUGCAGCUACGCGCUCAGUGCGUCGAGCUCUACCUUUCUAUCCGAACAAUUUCACUGGUUCAAGUUAGCUUCCGAAACUUGUGGGAUCAAGCUAUUGAGUAUAUGGGUAUGAUGCAGGUCAAGAGGCUCCUCGCUAGGCAUCUGGAUUCUGGGAAGCAAAGUAGUCCCUGGGUGUAUUUUGGUUUCUGUUUGUAUAUAUGUAUAUAUGUAUUUAGCUUACUCUCCAAGUAAUUUAUGUAUGCUGCUCCUCUUAGAGAUUGACGGAGAGAUAGGAGUUUACCAUGGUAUUUUGGUGUAUUUUGGGAAUACCUAUGUAUGUUUAUAUGUAUAUAUAUAUCCUCUGGCCAGCCUUAGCUUCGCAGGUUCAGUCAGGGGCUAGCUAUGCUAUUUCCUUGCUU